AUUUAUUAUCCUCAUAUCUAUAUAAUUUCCUACGCAAAUGCAGGUUUUUGAUAUUGAAGUUGAUGAGUUUUGGUCUGUAGGGAUAAGUCAGUGGAACUAAGCUUCAUUACUAGAAAAGUAGAAAGAAAAUACUUUUGAUUCUAAUCUCGAAACCUAUGAGCAUGUUACAAUCAACGAAUCCACGAAUCUUUUAAGAUAGCAAAAAGUUUCAAUUCUGUUUGUUGCAAUAUAAGGUCUGUAGUUUUAAUAUGGUUAUGUAAAGCUUUAUCCUUCUUCUUUUUUUUUUCUUCUUUUUUUGGUAGGUUUUGGGAUUUGGUUUGUUCAUACCUAAGAAGAUAAACAAACUGUAAUUAACUAUUUCAAGGUGUCCAUGGAUUUGCAGAUGAGUCUUCAGUUGAAGAUGCAUUUGAGUCUGCCAAUGAAUUAGAUCAGUGGUAAAUCCCCAUUGUAGAAACUUGAUACCAGCUUGGUUAAAAUACCAGGUGUUUGCUUAAUCUUUCUCUUUACAACCUUGGUUAAAAUACCAGCUUUUGUAAUAUGUUUAUAACAUUUUGAAUUAAUUUUUCUUAGCUUAUAAUUGUGAUUA